GCGCAGCAGUCGCGAAACCUCCGCAAUACACGAAAGUGUGACGGGGCCAUCCCGAGUGCCGUCCGCUGAGGACGGCUUUUCCCCAGUGUACACAGCUGGGGGAAUAAGGAGAGGGCAAGCCUGGUGUCAGCCGCCGCGGUAAUACCAGCUCUCCGAGUGGUGGGGACGCUUAUUGGGCCUAAAACAUCCGUAGCCGGCUGGGCAAGUCCUCCGUUAAAUCCAACGAUUCAAUCGUUGGGCUGCGGGGGAUACUGUCCAGCUUGGGGGCGGGAGAGGCCGACGGUAUUCCCGGGGUAGGGGUGAAAUCCUAUAAUCCCGGGAGGACCACCAGUGGCGAAGGCUGUCGGCUAGAACGCGCCCGACGGUGAGGGAUGAAAGCUGGGGGAGCGAACCGGAUUAGAUACCGCGUAGU
rnacentral:rRNA from 1 species